rnacentral:misc_RNA from 1 species
CUGCCUCCUUCAGAUGAGAAUGAGUUUCAUGGUGAGGAGGAUGGAGAUGUCCGGGGUCUGUCCAAUCCCCGGAUCCGACAGCCACGCCCUUUACAGCGUCAGUCUGUCCACCAUCGCCUCGGAUCACAUCAGGGAGUGGGCAGAGAACGGUCUGUGGCUGUGCAUGGAAAUAUGAUGGUGGCGUCGGUCCUAGCUCUGGAGGAUGGUGCUGCUGUCUGUGUUGGUGAUGGGCUGCUGACCUCACCUAGACCUUCCUCGCCUCAGCACAGAAGUUCGGCUGAGCCGCUGGAGAAGGCUAGGUUGAGCUCGCCCCUUCCUGCCACUCAAGUGCCAUGCAUGACAACCUUGAAGAAUAUCUUAGCUGGGCCGUCUGGGUCGGCUGCUGUGGGGUCGCUGGAUUCUGUCCUCCCUGUUUCGCCCCAGCGACACAGGACUGUUGCUGGGUCGCUGGAACAGGCUGGUGCGAAUUCGCCCCUUCCUGGUGGUUCAUCUAAUGCUGUGGCCCCCCUGAGAGUCUACUCGAGAAGCAGAUUCAGAAGCAAACACGCCCCAAUUCAGGAAGGACAGUUGAUGCAGGUCGUGGAGGUCAACAUUACAGAGAGGCCUUGUCUGAAUCAUUCGGAGUCCUUGGAUAACUCUUUGUCUGGGUGCACUGCUGUUGUCCCUGCCCUCGGUUUUGCUGCUGAAUCCCAACCGCAUGAAACAGCAAGCUUUGAAGCUAGAAAACAAGAGUUCUUCAAAGGAAUCUCCAAGUUUUCUUCUGGGAUUCUUCCUGUUCCGCGAGCUGAACCGCACGUUGAUCCUCCACCUUCCCCACCUGCUGCUCCCAUGCCAAGAAGAAGUCGCCGUGUUGCGGGAGUUGGAGUGGAAUUUAAUAUCCAUGACCUGGGAGGAAGAACUACCAGGAAAGUCAUGAGAUCAUUGCAUAUUAUUUCCGAGAAUGAGGGAAUUUGUCAGGAAGCCUUGGAUGAAUAUACUCAGCUUUUCAAGCGCCCCCUGACCCAUAGUGAGGUGGAGGCUCUUGCUGCCCUGUUUGGGUGGAGAGCCCCUGAGUUAGUGAAAGUAGCCUAG